UCAUUUUCCUUCAUCAAAUCUUCACUAAUCCUCCACCAAAUCACCUCAAAUUUUACACGCAACUUGCUAAUCACUUGGUGAACAACCUAAGCUAGGAAAGAGGCUUGAUUCUCACAGUUUUUCUCAGCUUUUAGAGGCCAAAAAUUUCUGCUUAAGUCAUCAUCAAAGGUGAUCUAGAGGACACCGAGAAGCUCUUUUAAUUUCCUGCUGUUGCUCUUGCUUUGCUCCGGAUUACGUUUUAGGCAGGGCUCGAGAAUGAUAGUUACUCAAGCACAAGGCUUUCGAGUACCGUGGAUUAUCCUUUAUCUGGGUUGUGAUUGAUUUUCUCUGUGGAAUGUAAUGGUUAUUUUGAAAGAUUUUUGAACUUUAUGGUAUGAUGUACUUGUGGUUGAAGUGAAUGUAAACCUCAUGAUAUUUUGGGGAUUAUACUUUUGUAAGAACGAUUUGAAUUGCAAACAUAAGG